rnacentral:rRNA from 1 species
UUUCAAAAGCAUUUUGAAGCACUGAAUUUGUUUUUUUUGCCACGCCUUACAGGAAUGUGAUUUCAUGAUGAAUUUUUGCAGGCACUUAGAACUUUUGUCAAUGUUUCUCUCAAAAAAAUUGGAAUUUUUUGAAAAAAAAAAUUAUAUUUUUUCGAUUUUACUGUUCAUGCGGGAGCAUAUGAGCUCGGGAUCAAAAGAUGACUUUCACAAGGAUCACUUGGUUCACUUUACACCAGGAAGAGCGAAUUCAGGGCAGAGUUCCACAAGGUAGUGAAUCACAUGCUUACAAAUCAAUGAAUUCGAGGAUGCUUGGAAGAUGUUGGUUGAUAAAUAUAAUUUAAAGACACAUGACUACAUGACCUAACUUUAUGAAAUAAGGUACAAGUGGGCGAAGCCGUAUUUUAAAGGUGUUUUAUGUGCUAAGAUGACUAGUACUCAGCGAAGUGAAAGUGCAAAAGAAUUAUGUUCCUCCGGGUUGUCCAAUGCAUAUGUUUGUGAAGAAGUACAUGAGACUUCAGUUUGACAGGGAGGCAGAGGAGAACUACGAGGAGAAGCGGACACGAAUAGGGAGACCACUAUACAAAGCAAACUUAGCUAUUGAGCGGCAUGCUGGCAAGAUAUACACACGAGCUAUGUUUGAGCAGUUUGGGCUCAUACUGUAUGAGUGCGGCGCAUACCAGGUUGAAGAGCUUGAGAAGGGGAAACUUUACCUUACUAUUCAUAUAGAGGCAGCGAGGAGGGAGAAGUGGUGAAGAGUGUCGUACAAGGUAAACGUUCUCGACGGAGGCGAAGAAUUUGACCGCGAGUGCGGGCAAUUUGCACACAUGGGACUCCUAUGCAGCCAUGUUUUGAAGGUGCUGGAUUUUAUCUGUAUUACAGAGAUACCAUAGAAACACAUAGUGAAGCGAUGGACGAGGGAUGCACGAGACAUUCUACCAGCUCAUCUGACUCAAUAUCAUAGGAAUAAUGCACACAAAAAUCCUUUCAGCUUCAGGCAUUUCAAUAUGUACAUGCACGCCAUGGAGUUGGUGCGGAUGGGUGAUGCAAGUGUAAAAGCAUAUGAGAAAUUCAUGUGCCUCAUUAAGAAUUGCAUGGUGGAGAUGCAGCCCUUUGCAGAGAUUAGAGAUGGGUUAGAAUUGGAGGACAUGAUUGUUGAGCAUGGAGAUGUAGUCAACCAACAAGCACCACAAGUGGCAAUGGUUGCUGCAAGUGGUGGGGCAGGCAUGGGCACUGUCAACGAUGAUGCUACUUCUGCAAAUGAGAGUGGGAACAGACUGAGCGGUCAGUUGGCACCAAAGAAGCGCAAAGAAAUGGGGCGGCCAUCAACUAGCAGGGAGAAGGCAUCAUACGAGGGGUUGAGCAAACGACCCCGGUUUUGCACCAUAUGUCGCGGGCAAGGGGACAAGAGAACGACCUGCCCUGACCGAGGUGAUGCCCCGGAACCUGUUCGCAAACCGUCUAGGUGCAAAUACUGUGGAAUUGAAGGUCACAGGCGAAACAACUGCCACAAAGUAGGUGAUCUCAGGUUGGCUGGCAUGUGAGCAGUGGCUGCAACCUGAAGAAAUGAGAGAUGUAGAAUUUCACAGGUGUUCUUGAGUCAUGGUUGCUGAAUUUGUCAUGUAGAACUGAUGUAGUUCUGUCAGUACAAGUGUUCUUGAGACAUGCAGGACUGAUGCAUGGCAACCAAAAUAAUAAUUUGGGUUGGCCGAACAAGAGUAUUGUACGCCUAAACUAGUGUGCAUGUAUGAGUUUUAGCACCAAGCUAAUGUAUGUUUUUCUGAAGUUUUAAACAAAGUAGUCUGGUUGUGUGAACACUGAUCGUUUCUGUACUUCUGAAUUUUUGUAGAAUUUGUGCAUGCAUUCUGGAG